GGGGGCGGUUAUGAAAAAUUGUGUAAAUUGUAGGAAAUGUGGAUACCAUGAACUUGAUACUUACUUUCACUUUAAACCUUUAUUUUAGUACCCUGCAAAUAAUUCAAGUAAGCUGUUUAGCAAUGUAUGAACAUUUUUACACAUGUCCUUCCCAGAAUGUAGAAAUAUCAUUAUGCAGGUUAAAGUCAUUUUUCAGACACUACGAAAGGUUCUGCACAAUAUAAUAUUUGUAAACCUCGCGCGAAUAGUGGUGUAUGCGUGAUGUGUAAGCUGAGAGAGGAUAGUUCAGUAAUAGUUGGGGUUGCACAGCCUCAGCUGCGGUCACAUGAGUGGAGGGGAACUACUACGAGUAUUAACUUUUCUAAAAAUAUUGAGUUUGGUUUUCCCACCUCUGGUCCUCAUCACUGCUUUGCUCUGAAUCUGAAUCUCCAAACUGGUGUCUUCAUCCGUUUUGCUCAUGUCUGAAUUUGAUGACUCAAGGCUGACAACCAAUUCCUCAACAGUGUUAUCGUCCAAGUGUUCAUUUUGCAUGUAUUUCUCCUCCACUUCUUGUAUGUGUCUACAUACGGGCAACCACUCUUCUUUAGUGAUGAAGGAGAAUCUUUCUUCCUUCAGUUUUUGAACGUCUUGCAAUUGGGAUGUGACGUUCUUCAUCGCCACCCAGUUUUUAACCAUUGCCCACAUUUUUUUAAUGGGAUUUAGUUCUGGGUGGUAGGGUAGCAAACGAAGUGCAACAUGCCCAUGUCUUGCCAAAAGGCUGUCAAUACAAGUAAAUUGAUAAAUGAAUAAAAUGUAUGUAUCAAACAACUUUGAAACUUUUAUACCGACAAUCAAUAGAAAAACACCGAGUAGAGCAAUGUUUUUAGUUUGCUUAUAGCAGAUGACGCACCGAUCUAAACACAGCUAGAGCUACAAACCAAUUGAAGCAGACAGCCCUCUAUCGCAUGCUUUGGACGGGUCCAUCUCAUACUACCGAAAUCAGUUCUUUGCACUCUGCCUAUAUUUACUUUUUUAAAAAAUAAUAUGAUAUAUUUCACACUGAUUUACAUAGUUUCUGAUGAUUGUAUUCAAAGCUGAUAUCAAUAAUCCAAGUCAUUUCAUCAUGGAAUUACAAAUCACGACAUAUUUGUCAGUGUCCUAUAGUUUCAGCAGAUCUUAUAAAGGAAUUGUUUUCCUUUCCUUUUGUGUUGCCAUCAUGUGUUACUAUGGUCUGGAAAUAAUUGCAGAAAAGACAAAGCACAUGAUCAUGUCUUGGCAUAAGAAUUCAGGACAGAACCAUAAUAUAAUGAUAGCUGAUGAAUUGUUUGAAAAUGUGACAAAGUCCAAAUACUCGGAGACACCACUAACAAGUCAGAAUGACAUUCAUGACAAAUCUAGAGCAGAUUAAUUCAGGAAAUGCUUGCCAUCGUUCAGUCUGAAAUCUUUUGUCCUCCCAUCUCAUAAAAAACUAAAGGAUAAAAUAUACGCAAGUGUAAAUUUGCCAGUUGUGCUGUAUGAGUGCAAAACUUAGUCUCUCACUUUGAGGGAGGAACAUGGGCUGAGGGUCUUUGAGAACAGAGUUAUUUGGACCUUAAACGGAGGAAGACGGAUCACGGAGAUAAUUGCACAUUGAUGAGCUUUACUGCAUGUACUCCUCUCCUGAUAUUGUUCGGGCGAUUAAAUCAAGAAGGAUGAGGUUGGCAGGACAUGCAGCACACAUAGGGGAGGGGUGUUUACAAGUUAUUGGUUUGGGAGUCCUGAAGGGAGAAGACCGCUGGGAAGACUAAGGUGUAGGUUGGUGGAUAAUAUUAAGAGGGACCUUAGGGAGACAAGAAUCCAUGGAGCAAACUGAGUGCAGCUAGCUCAGAAUAGAUUCUGUCUGGUGGUGUUCUUUUCUGAACAUGGUGAAGAACCUCCAAGUUGCAUGAAGAAUGUGGGCUAUUCUUUGACAAGCCGAGUAUACAGUCUACUUUUCAAAGAGUGUCCUGCACCAUGGAGUGAUGUAGUAUUAAGCUCAUAAACCCAUAUAAACCAACUGCAGUACAUGUAGUAGAGUCAAUUAACAGUAGGGAUGGGACAACUGCUCAAGUAGUUUGGGUGACCAAUUUAAAAUCUUUGAAUUUUUUCAAUCGCCAUCGUGCUCGAAUGUUUGAGCAGAGUAUCAUGAGCUAUGUUCAGGCAUGUUUCAUACUGUCUGAGCUGUUUGGACAGUGAUUUGUAUUUUGUCAAAAGGACGUGAGACUCAAGCAGCAGGAUUUAGUCUAUGUACUGGACUUGUGCAUAGCUGACUGCAAGCAUAGGGAUGUUGUUCGUACUUUUAUAAAUUGAAUUGCUCAGUUAAGCAUAAUUGGCAAGUGUGGUCUAUAUUAAAUCUCCAACAUCACUCUGUUUAUCAUAUGAUUCUAUUCUGUUAAGUUGCUACAUGCCAUGAUCAAAAUCACCACUGGCACUAGCACAAGUUAACUUUGUUCUCCCUUCCUAUUGGUAGGCUGCUCUACUCUGAAGUCACAAUUUAUUUUAUUCUGGUAACAUUUGCCAAGACAUUGCCAUGGAUUCAGGAGAAGGCACUGGUGAUCGUACAGUGCACAAAACAUUGACUUCACAACAUUUACUAUCGCUACUGUUUGUAUGAAAUACAUGUUUUCCAAGAAAAUACUCUCAUUGGCUUGCUUUCACUGUACUUCAUUUUCUUUUCUCACCACUUGUUUGGUGCUCAGCGGUCGCUAAUGCGAACUGGUAUCCAGGUUGCUAUGGUCUUCGUGGAAUUAGACUCAGUCCGAUAAGCCACUUAAGUACUUUAAGUACUUUUCUGUGCUAUAGACUAACUAAUACAGUCUCAAAGUUACCAUUAUCUGAAACUACUUAUAUCUAGAAGUGACUGCUGUCUGGAAAUGACCAAUGUUUAGAAAUUACUGCCCUCUGAAAAACAAGGUUUGUGCCCAAAUUUGUCUUGGUACAGUAUGCAACUUAAACAUCAGUGACGCUCUUAGAAACAUAACCUGCUGCAUUCCUCAGAGUUUUUCAACUCUACCAUUAGAUGUUCUCCAGGCAAGUUUCUUAACCAGUAACUAUCUGUCUAGAUUUUCUAGUUACAUAAUUUAAUACAUUUAUUAAUUAUGUAUAAUUUCCCAACAUUUUUAUGGUGGAUUCUUAUUGCAGAAGAAUAUUAAACACAGGUGCAAUCAAAAUGAUAUGCCUUCUUAGUUUUAUUUUAUUUAUCUUGCUAUCUUGAGUAGCAGUGUGAUCACUCAUUGCUAUCCUGUUUGUUUAGUAUGUUCCUGCACAUGUUACAGUCAUUAUUAACUUGCUUACUUCUUAGUCUGAUUAGUAUAUAUUUAUUCGUGAUUUGUGCAGAGUAAUAAUGUCACUAUUUAUUAUCUGAAAAGUGCAUAGGAAUGACUUCUGUUAAAUAACAUAGACAUACUGUUCAUUUUCAUUUAUAAAGCCAUCACCAUGAGUUUAACCAUGUGGGAAGUAUUGCAAUCAUUUUUGUUGUACAUUGAGACCUGUUUGUGUAGCGAAAUUAUUGAUUUCCCAGUGUUCGAACAGUUUAAGAUUUGAUUGAGUUCUGUCAUACUAUUGAAACUGUUUAAGAAUUUCUCAAUACCAUCCCUAGUUAACAGAAUAAAUAAUUAUAUCUAACUUGAUAGCAGUUGUACAUUAAAAACUAAAAUGAUGCUUGAAGAUUGUGACUAACUCAUAAGAGUAUCCAACUGUUGGGCAGUAAAGUUAACCAGUUAAUGAAAGUGGUGUAAAGUCCAGGAAAUUCAAAUGAAAUUACAUUUAUUUUGCAGAAUCAGAAAUAUUAGCAAUUCUAGAAAAAUCAGUGGGAUUGAGAAAGGUUAUGGGAAAACAUACAUUCCAGGAACAUAGAAACAAGGAUUUACUUUUGCACAUACAAAAUGCAAAUACUACGCUAAUACCUACAACUGUAGAAGAAGUGACUUGAUUUACUGGAGUACUUAGCCUAUGCUUUCACUGUAAAUUUCUGUUACUAAUCUGGAAAUAUGAACGUUUCUGUGGUGUGUGAAGUUAUAAUGACCUCUUAAGGCUAAAGAACAUCUUGUCUUAGAUUUGGGUAAAGAUGGUAUAUUGAUGGCCUAAAAACGUAGGCACGGGAUUUACUUCUGCUGAGACAAUGGACUUCGGUGGAACACUCCAGAGAAGGAAUGUAUGUUGGAGACUAAAGAAAAUGAGAUGUUUCAUUCAAAAUUGAAUAUUGAAAUUAAAUGUAUAGAAAUGAGUGAGAAAGUAGAGUACCCUUUACUGUUUACAAAGUUUCAUGUGUAGAAAUACAGUUAACGAAGUCUUACUUAGUCCCUAGACCUUUACAUUAAUAAAUAUUACAUCAUUUGCAGCAUAUUUGUUUCUUAGGAGCUCCAAAACCAGAUUACCAGAAGCGUGUGACAAAGGUUCUGAACAGAGCAAAGAUGAAGUAGAGUUGCAAGGAACAUUAAUCCUUUUAAGUUCAAUGGCAGUUAUAUGUCCCAUCUACUUCAACAGUUAGUAAUUCUUUACAUCAUUAAAUGAAGUACAAGUAAAUAAAAAAUUCCUUUCCAUUCCUGUCUUGAUCUCUCAAGUCUCUACAGAAUAUUUUUCCAGUGAACAUUUUAUAUGCACUUCUUUUGUCAGGAUGCAUGAGGAGGAUAAACACCGAUUGUAAUUGGUGCUCAUAUUUUCUCACGUCAUUUAUGUGUUUGGUCAGAUAUUCGAAAUGUUCGUAUAUCAUCAGUGACACGUCAAUUUUGUCAGUGUGUACAAGGAAUGGUUGGAAAAAAAUUGUAGAUGCUGAGUGUGUGUUUGUCAUCUGACAUAGAGUGUGAUUGUAAAGUGCAAUGUCAGAGGCCACUCAAACCCAUCAGAACUGAAUCCCCGUAGCAUCAUGACAGUCGCAUCAGAACCACCACUGUGCCUUGACAGUGCUGGUUGUUGUGACCUCUAGCAGGUAUAAAGCUCAGAAUGAAGUAUUGACAGCACUCAUUCUGGUUGCUGUGAAAGCUGCCAUUUUUGUUGGUUGAAAUGUAACUGUAUCAUUUUUACGUACUCAUAAAUAAUUCUGGUUUACUCAUAUUAUUCUGUAUAGUGUUAAGACUAUUUAUUAACUGGAGAGGUUAGGUCACACUGAGCUGUGAGGUUGAUCAUGAAUGCUGAAUCAGGAUAAGCUGAUACUGUCCUGCCUUAACUUGAUUGACUGAGGAAAAUCACAAAAAGGUACAAAAUAUUAAUUCUGUAACACCGGUCUUUCUCUUGGACAUGAACUGGAUACCUCUUGAAUACAAAUCAUGUUAGAUCAUUAAACCUGCUUAAUGCAUUCAAAAGCAGAGUAAUGGCUAGUGAGGUGGCCAACCUGUAAUCCUCUGUCAGAAUAAACUAAUAAUGCAGAUUUUGUGAUACUGUCAAUUGACAGUUCUUUGCCAGACAUAAGUGGUUUUUUGAUCUGUGUGUGUGUGUGUAAAGAUGAUGUAACAUUUUAUUAUAACUUUUGUGUUAAGAAUUGGUUUUUAUGUGAAACUUUAUUAACGUGACUUGUUUGCAGCAUGAUGAUAAGUUUAAAGAUACAAUACAUCAAAAGAGGGGAUCUGAGAGAGACUGAGUUUGAGACUGCAAUUUGUCCCUUUCCUAAGUCAGUUCAAUCUCUUUAACAAGAUCAAAACCUAUUAUCCAAUAUUCAGUUCACUAUUCUGCUCUCAUUUUAUAUCUGGGUCUUCCAUGAAGGCUCUAGUUGUAUUUUAUUUAAUUUUGUUUGUUGAGCAGUGACAAUCUGUGUAAUGAAUGUGCAGAGGUGUCUGGUUCAGUUCUGCCACCACUCAGAACAUAAAAUGAAAAUCUGUCAUUGUAUUGAUAGCCAGUGAUGUGAAAAUGAGAGUAGAUAGACUUUAAAAGCACAUGGUUUUGUAAUUAAAAACUUGUCAUAUCAGCUGAGGAUUGAACACAAUAUUUAAAGAAUAUGUCCUCAGUAACUUAGUUGUAAGUUUCACACAUUCAAUGCAAAAUGUCAGAUUGCAGUUGUCAGAUAUGAAUAUUAUUUUUUAAGUCAAUUUUUUUAUAUUUAGCACAGUAAAUGAGAAUUUUUUCUCCAUUGGCUAAUGAUGUUACUGGCCAGUACCAGCAGCUUUCUCACACCACUUACUUUACUUUACUCUAUGUGCAACCAAAAGAGCUUUUUUUGCAAAAUAAAUGUAAAUAAUGCUGAAACUGACAGCCACAGAUGGUUAGGUGCACAGCCUGUAGUGAACACUGGAAAUAAACUGUUUCUUGUGGUCUCACUUUAAGUACAGCGCUCAUUACUUUUGGGGAACAUCAUGUACGCAGGGCUGGGUACUCCUCUGUACUGGCUUUGCAACAAAAUGUUGGUAUGGUCAAGAGGCAGGACUACAGUAACUUCAGGGGCCAUUGUGAAUCUUGAGUGAUACAUUUUAAUGAGCAUGAAGCAUCAUAUUACAUUGGCUGUGACUGUUUCUUGCACAGUUCAUAUAUCUCAGAAAGGAGCAGCAACACAUGCAGAAAUGUUACAUAGAAUGAUGAAAUGGGCUUCACAAAACUUGUUAUGUGCAUGAAGGUGACUGGCUUCUGGGGUGAUACACUGUGUAGUCUGGUAGAAGUUUACUGACAUUUCAGGAGUGCUUGCUGUCUCUUUCAUCGGGAUGAUGAGAUGGCUCACCGCCCCGAUGAUGGAUGCAGCAAGUGCCUCGAAGACAUCAGUACUCUUCUGCCAGACCACAGGAUGCAACAACCCAAAAGACAGUCAUCUUGAUACUGCCGUGAAAACUCGCAUAUUGUGUGUAUUUUGUGUAGUAAGAGUCUGCUGUAGAAGUGCACUUUAAUUAGUACCUGUGUGUUCAGACCUGGUCUUGUUGAAGUAAAAGCUGUGGCAAGAGACGUUUUUAUUGUCGUGAUGUUUAUCCCAUUGGUGGCCUUUGUAGAGACGAAUGAAUCUAGCACGAUGGACUCGUGGAUUGAUAUUGGGCAAGAGCAUCACUUUUGUUUACUCAUCUGCUCCCAGGAAAGUGGUAGUGUUGCCUGUGGAUGUAAUGAGCAGUGCAGCAGAGGCAUGCAUUGUGUCUCUAAUUUUAUGAGAGAUUAUGAAUGCUGUGCUCAGGUAGGCGACUGGUUGUGUAAUGAACUGACCCCAUGUAAAUAUCACUCAGCCCAUUGUACAGAAAUUAAAUAUUGUUUCUAGGAAGGUAUUUUGCCACUACUUGUAGAACUUGGUGAUGUCUCUUGUCCUGUUAGUGGCCAGUGUAUAUGUUGUAAUAUUUAAAUUUAUUUAUUUUUGAUCAUCUGAUGGUGGAGAGCAUCAUGUGAUCCUUAAGCCCCCUUGCUUGUCUUAAUAUGACAAUUUGUAUACAUUUUUAAACAAUGUGACAGUCUGAUUUUUUUAUUUCAGGGAAUAAAUGUUUUAAUAUUGUGUGGCAAAGCCUCUGUUAAUUCAAUAUGAAAUAUUUUAAUUUAAAAAAAAUACUUUUUGUCUUGCUAUAACAAGUACUUUGAAUUUUUGUAGAUUUUUAUGUUUUUCUAGUAAAGGAAUGCCUGAUGCUUUUACUCUUAAACAGAAGUAGUUGAUGUAUAGUUGUUAUUUAGAAGGAAGUGUAAUGAUGAAUUAUUUAGAUUGUGAGUUGAUACAGUCAAAUGGUUGCAGUUAAGGAUGGCCCGUCCUCUCUGUUACACUCGCAUUCUUAUAUAAUGCUGAAAGUAUGUGACUAAUAAUUAAAUUAAAUAUUGCAAACAUAUUUUUCUGGAUCAUAGCUACCAUGUAGCUAUUAAAGAGCUAAGAGAAUUAUAGUACAUUUGCACCCAGUUUCCUAACACACAUUUUAAAUGGGUAGUUAUUGAAAUUAUUUUCAGUUGAAAAUUGUGUUUGUUGUGAGUGAUGAUGUUUAUGAUUGUCUUGUUUGCACUAGUCAUGUAGACACAUCCAGUUUGAAGUCGCAGUAUUCAUUAUCCUCACUUGCAUAAAAUCAUGUGACAUCAGUCACUCUGGCUUCAAGAUGAAAGGACAAGUUUUGAUGCAUUUUUAGUGUCCCUAAUUUCAUGUAAUGACAUUAGGAUAUUAAAUUAAAUAUGCUAAAUAAA